rnacentral:pre_miRNA from 1 species
UACUUUUGUCCAAAGUCAAACUUCUCUAACUUCGACCGAGUUUAUAUAAAAAUGCACCGGCAUCUACAGUAAAAACUAAAUACACUAUCAAUACAUAUUUCAUGGUGGAUUUAAUGAAACUAAUUUGAUGUUGUAAGUGUUGGUGUAUUUUUUUUUUUUUUGGUAAACUCAGUCAAAGUUUGAGAGGUUUGACUUAGGAAAAAACUAA